CAGUAGCCGCGGUAAUACGAAGGGGGCUAGCGUUGCUCGGAAUUACUGGGCGUAAAGGGAGCGUAGGCGGACUGUUUAGUCAGAGGUGAAAGCCCAGGGCUCAACCUUGGAAUUGCCUUUGAUACUGGCAGUCUUGAGUACGGAAGGGGUAUGUGGAACUCCGAGUGUAGAGGUGAAAUUCGUAGAUAUUCGGAAGAACACCAGUGGCGAAGGCGACAUACUGGUCCGUUACUGACGCUGAGGCUCGAAAGCGUGGGGAGCAAACAGGAUUAGAUACCCGAGUAGUCCCUGUCUCUUAUAC
rnacentral:rRNA from 1 species